GAGCCUCUCUCCUGCAAGGCCUUAGGCAUCUUCUUACAAUGCCCAUACAUAUUGCAUAUUCAUAUUAUUAUUUUCUGACAAACUUGCCUUUUCAUGGCUGGCUCAAGGUCAUUUCGGAAGAAAAAUCCUACUAAAAUGUUGAACUUGCCAAGAUGCUACUAAAUAAGGGCAGGGGCACUUGUUUGAAUACUGGUCAGAACCCGGUGUUGAUGACGACAA